AUUGAACGCUAGCGGCAGGCCUAACACAUGCAAGUCGAACGAGUGGCGGACGGGUGAGUAAUGUCUGGGCCACUGCCUGGUGGAGGGGGAUAACUACUGGAAACGGUAGCUAAUACCGCAUACCAUCAGAUGUGCCCAGAUGGGAGUAGCUUGUGGGUGGGGUAACGGCUGACCAAGGCGACGAGCCCUAGCUGGUCUGAGAGGAUGACCAGCCACACUGGAACUGAGACACGGCCCAGACUCCUACGGGAGGCAGCAGUGGGGAAUAUUGCACAAUGGGCGCAAGCCUGAUGCAGCCAUCCCGCGUGUAUGAUGAAGGCCUUCGGGUUGUAAAGUACUUUCAGCGGGGAGGCGUUACCCGCAGAAUAAGCACCGGCUAACUCCGUGCCAGCAGCCGCGGUAAUUC
rnacentral:rRNA from 1 species